rnacentral:lncRNA from 1 species
CCUACUACCAGCCCCAGUUUCCUCCUCCCUGAGCGCACAGAAGGAAAUCUCUCCUCUCUGAGCAGGCUGCAGAGCCCAGAACUUUCCCGUCAUCGCCCAGAGGCUUUCCCACACCACUUGGCAGCCUGCAGACUGGUCUUCAUCCAAGUGCCAAAGGAGAACCCACAGUGCAAGCCAGGAAGACCAUGACAAUCAUCUGUGCUCUUCUCUCUGUGCCUAACAUUGUCAUCUCCCAUAUGCACCACUGGCCCACCUUUGAGAAAGAAUUCAAACUCCACUUCCUGGCCAGGCUGGUCUCGAACUCCUGACCUCAAACCCCACUUUCUUCAUGAGGCUUGCUAUGACCCCACCACACCCACCAGGCCAGACCACCAUCACCUCUCACUGGACCCUGCUACGACCACCUCCCUGAUCUUUCUGCCCUUGGGCUCGCUCCAUGGAGCCCCUUCUCCACACAGCAGCAGCCAGAGGCAGUUUCUGGAGCCCACAGCUGAAUGCGUUGUUCUCCUUGCUCAGGCAGAGAAGAGGACAGAUGGGGUUUUGGUCUCCUGUGUGUAGCCAGAGGGACUGCCUUGUCCUUCGCCAUCUCCAGUAGUUCCUGAGACCACAGCUGCUGAUGGCAAAUGCCCCCAGUCCCAGCCAUGCCCCAGCCCCCUGCAUUGAGAGACCCAGCUCCACCCAGAGGGCAGCUGCAGCCUCCUUCAUCCACAGCCACUGCUGUGACCAAGAGGGACAUUGUCCUGGAAGGCCAGUGGAGCCUUUCUGAGGCCUUCACAGGCCCAAUGUCCACCCUGGUCAUGACACGUA